AUUGAACGCUGGCGGCAGGCCUAACACAUGCAAGUCGAGCGGAUGAGAGGAGCUUGCUCCAUGAUUCAGCGGCGGACGGGUGAGUAAUGCCUAGGAAUCUGCCUGGUAGUGGGGGACAACGUUUCGAAAGGAACGCUAAUACCGCAUACGUCCUACGGGAGAAAGUGGGGGAUCUUCGGACCUCACGCUAUCAGAUGAGCCUAGGUCGGAUUAGCUAGUUGGUGAGGUAAAGGCUCACCAAGGCGACGAUCCGUAACUGGUCUGAGAGGAUGAUCAGUCACACUGGAACUGAGACACGGUCCAGACUCCUACGGGAGGCAGCAGUGGGGAAUAUUGGACAAUGGGCGAAAGCCUGAUCCAGCCAUGCCGCGUGUGUGAAGAAGGUCUUCGGAAUGUAAAGCACUUUAAGUUGGGAGGAAGGGCAGUAAGUUAAUACCUUGCUGUUUUGACGUUACCAACAGAAUAAGCACCGGCUAACUUCGUGCCAGCAGCCGCGGUAACAC
rnacentral:rRNA from 1 species